rnacentral:lncRNA from 1 species
GCGGGACCCUGCAUACCUGGAAGCGGCGGGUGGCGUCCUCCUUGUCGCCCUCACCCACCCGGUCCGGGUGUACCUGCAGGGACACCUUGUGGUAGCCUCGUCGGACCUCGCCGUCGGAGGCCUCGCGUCGCACGCCCAGCACCCGGUAAAGGUCGGCGGUGCCGAACACUUCCUCGCAAAGGUCCAGCAGCCCCAUGCCGGGCGGAGAUACGACCCCGGAGGAAGCAGCCGCUCCCAGCUGCGCCGGGUACAACCCAGGACUGCUUCUUUUUCGCGCCCAAAAAGCCCAGGGCGCCUGCGUCACAAGCACUGAAGGGGCGUGGCCACGCCGCGCAUCCGCGCUUUACGGCGGCCGCAAAAUGAGGUGUGGCGAGUCAGGCGCGGGCCCGGGUAAGUAACGCCGGCAUGUGGAGUCACAGUCCCCGGCCGCGCGCAGGAGCUAGGUCUUCAGGGAAGUGAUGUUGCUCGGGUCUCUCCUCCCCUUGCUCUGGAAAUCUGGCGUCCGUCUUACCUUUUAGUGUCCAAGAACAACUUUUUCAAAAAGUUCAUAUAUUAGCUUGAAUUUACAAACUGCUGGCCUAUUUUUUUAAGUAGAAAACGGCCAAACAUCAGCAUUCAGCAGUUACACAUGGUUCAACUUAACAGAUGUGUUUUUUCAAAAAUGUUCUUGAAAGGAAUAGGUAAAGCUGUAGACCCAAAUAAUUUUGCACCCCACUGGUUGGAAAUGCUGGGGUACUUUCCCUCUAGCCCUGUAGGAAAAAACCCUAUACUGAAACCCAAAAAGCACAAAACACGGGUCUUCCAAAAACUCUUACCUAAUAGGACUUUCACCUUACACAUUGGUGGAGAGAGAUAACAUGACCCAAGCCUCCGUCUUAAUAACAUAAACUGCUGAAGCAAAGGCUCUUUCUUUUAAUACUCUGUGAAGUUCACAGCUGGGUUUGAACAUGUUGGAUCCCAGGUGGCAGCAGAGUGGGCUGGAGCAAUCAUCCAAGAGAUGGUGAGAAACUUGGGCCUGGAGACCCAAAGCAAGGUUGAGGCUGGGGAUAAAACUUUGUUAGUAGGGUAAACUCACAGAGGAAGUAUGUGUAUACAUAUCUUAAAGGAUAAACAAUGCUAAGUGAAUACCCGAGUUGGCAGAAAAUACCUUAUCAAAUAUCCCCUCACUGAUGUAGCAUUUUUCAGAAUCAUUCUGCUCUGCCAAUAAGUUUCUGCAAAGCCUCAAACUCUCCAGGAUACAUUAAUAUCUUUUAAACUUCCCAGAGUUGCCGUGAUUUUCAAAGCAUUUCUCUUUCCCAGAUCCAAGAUCAAACUCAGCUGAAGUCAGUUCCUCUCAACCUGCCCUGGCAUCAAAGUCUCAAAGCAAGUGGGGGCCAACCAGCAACAACCCCAGGGGAGCUUUGACAACCACAGAAUUUGAGAUGGCUGGUAAUCGUUCUCAGAACAUAAAACACAAAGUAAGUCGGCACAUUGAUAGAACCUCCUCUAUAAAUUUCCUAUAUCUUAGUCACACACCAGAGUUAAGCCAUCUGUCUUUGCUCAUUUUUCCCUCUAUGGACAACAUAAUAUGUUGGGAAGGGCUUUCCAGGAGGGCAUAACCGGGAGAUGAAUCUUACAUCACUGGGCAAGUUUCCACCUCUAGGCCUCAGCUUCCCUAUCUGUAAAACGGAGAUAAUCCUACCUGCCUUCAUAAUACCUUACAAUUGUCACAAAUAACCUUGUACACAAAAGGCCUAGGAUAUAUGUAGAUGCUUUGCAAUAUUAUCUUUCUUCCAGUUUCUUGUAUUUUUUAAGGUAUUCAAAUACAUCUAUUUUAACAUUUUUCUAUAUAUACAUUUGCUACGGAAAAUUGAAAUCGCACACUGAAAUAUCCUUUUAUUGCAACUCAAAUUUUCAAAAACCAGAAAAUCAAAUUAUUAUGCUCUAGCCAAAUUAUGUAAUGUUUUCUUUUUCUUUUCUCUGUCACCCAGGCUGGACUGUAGUGGAACAAUCACAGUUCACUGCAGCAUCGGCCUCCUGGGCUCAAGUGAUCUUACUGCCUCAGCUUCCCGAGUAGCUGGAACUAUGGGUGAGCAACACCACAGCCAGCUAAUUUUUUAAGUUUUUGUAGAGACGGGGUCUUGCUGUGUUGCACAGGCUGGUCUCAAACUCUGGCUUCAAGUGAUCCUUCCACCUCAGCCUCCCAAAGUGCUGAGAUUACAGGUGUGAGCCACUGCCCCAAUGGUAUCUUUAUAUUAUUUUUCCUUACAAGUUACUUCAAAUUCUUGAUGUUGAAUUUCAUCUCACUGACUUCAGGCUUUUAAAACACAUGGGAAUACUUGAGACCUAAGAAUGGUUGUGAGUCAAAUAAAAAAGUAGAACUAAAGUAUACUGAAGUUAUUCAAAUACAUUCAAACUAUAAAGAUCCCUUAUAGAUUACUGGCAUCAAGGUAGGAAGGAAAAGAUACAAGAAGUAAAAUGCAACACUCAUUACAGGUUGUCAACAUUAUUGGUAUACAGUUUAUCCUAACACAGAGCAGCCUUCUUAACCUGCUCCAUAAAAUUACCAGCAAGAAAGAAAAGUACAAGAAUAAGGUUCACAGCUGAAUUGGCUUGGUGUCCUAAUUCCCUAUUCCAGUAUUCUCAGAAGGAUCCCAUCUAUGAUAUAUGCAGAAAUCACAGCCACAUUUGAAUGGUUCAAUCUUGAUUCAUACUGAACUCCCUUAAGCCCAGCAGUUUCUCAUUCUUAAAAGGUAGGUUAUUAGAGCCCCAAAGCAAUUUUCAUAACAAAUCUACCUUUGUAUAUUUAAGAAUAUGCAUUAAGGCUAGGAGUGGUGGCUCACGCCAGUAAUCCUAGCACUUUGGGAGGCCGAGGUGGGCAGAUCACAAGGUCAGAUUGAGACCAUCCUGGCCAACACGGUGAAACCCCAUCUCUACUAAAAAUACAAAAAUUUGCCCGGGCGGUGGCUCACGCCUAUAAUCCCAGCACUUUUGGGAGGCCAAGGCGGGCGGAUCACGAGGUCAGGAGAUCAAAACCAUCCUGGAUAACAUGGUGAAACCCCAUCUCUACUAAAAAUACAAAAAAAUUAGCUGGGUGUGGUGGUGGGCACCUGUAGUCCCAGCUACUCCUGGGACUACUCGGGAGGCUGAAGCAGGAGAAUGGCAUGAACCCAGGAGACAGAGCUUGCAGUGAGCCGAGAUCGCGCCACUGCACUCAAGCCUGGGCGACAGAGCGAGACUCCUCUCAAAAAAAAAAAAAAAAUUAGCUGGGUGUGGUGGUGCAUGCUUGUAGCUCCCCGGCUACUCAGGAGGCUGAGGCAGGAGAACCUCUUGAACCCAGGAGGUGGAGAUUGCAGUGAGCUGAGAUUGCACCACCGCACUCCAGCCUGGCAACAGAACAAGACUCCGUCUCAAAAAAAAAAAAAAAAAGAGAAUAUGCAUUAGGCAAGACAAUAUAAACCUCCAAUUACAAAAAUCAAUUAAGAAAGGUUAACUGUUCUUGCACUUGUGGGAUGAACAUGAAGAUCUGAAUGGGCCAUGAAUAGUCUGGCUGGGGGUUUUGAAGCAGGAAGUCUUGGAAGCCAGUAAAUUGUAAAGUUGUCCAAGAGACCCAGAGCCCAACUCAAAAGUCCAAUCCUCCCAUAGCCACUGUCUAUCCCAAGACAAAGUCGAAAAAAGCUAAUUAGUACCCACACCCAGCUCUAAGUCACACAAGAACAAAUCUCUCCCUGGGCCCUGUGCAGGCCAGGCCAGAAGAGCAAGGGCAACUCAGGAUACUCCAUUUAUUGAACUCCAAAUCUAACAAAAUUAAGAUCGCUGCAGUGUUUCAAAAGGACCUUGACCUUGUUCCCACUGCUAUGCUCACUAAAGUCAGCUCAUUUAUGUUUCUGUAGCCUCUGUAUCUGUAGCUUCUGCAUCUGUUUUCUGAGAAGCUAACAGGACUUCACGUGCCCGUUUCCUUCGCAGUCUCUCAGCAUUUGUGAUCAUCAUAGGAUGCAGAGGGAAAAAGCCAGCAAGACCUAAAAGUAACAGAUUUUUCACUUAUUAUAACACAGUAUAAGCCAAUGCUUCCCUAGGAACUCUGUCUCACAGAACUGAGGUCUGAGAUCUGACCCAGUGCAUGGAUGCAAACCAUGCUCCUCACUUGCCAAACUCUGUACUACUUCUCCCCGGCAAGGAGACAGUGGAUGUCUACUUCCCUAACAAUAUUCCCCUUACUUUAAAAAACGUAAACUGACAGAUGGCCAUUCAAAACAUACUAUUCCUAUUUUUAGCAUAAAAUACCAGUCACCCAAAGUCUUACAAAGGAGUCCACAAAAGGGGCCUCCAGAUUCAAAAUGCCAAUUAGAUCACAACUUCAGCUCCCACUUCAGUCCUGAACAGCCUAGAGGGAAUGAAAUAACUCUUUUUUUUUUUUCUUUGAGAUGGAAUCGCCCUCUGUUGCCCAGACUGGAGUGCAGUGACGCGAUCUUGGCUCACUGCAACCUCCGCCUCCUGGGUUCAAGCGAUUCUCCUGCCUCAGCCUCCCCAGUAGCUGAGACUACAGGUGCGUGUCACCACGCCCAACUAAUUUUUUUUUUUUAUUUUUAGUAGAGACAGCGUUUCACCAUGUUGGCCACUCUGGUCUCAAACUCUUGACCUCAGGUGAUCCGCCCGCCUCGGCCUCCCAAAGCGCUGAGAUUACAGGCGUGAGCCACCGUGCCCAGCCGAAAAUCAUUCUUACACCUACUGUCCUGGAGCUGACUUCAGUUUAAAAUCCCCUCAAUAAGGUAAGACCAGAGCUGAGUUACCCAGAAGCUUUUCCAUAGGCUUAGAGAGGUGGGCCCCGCAGCCAAUCCAAUGACGGAUCCUGUCUAGGUUGAGGGCAACGAGUUUUUCUCCAUGACUGUUGGGCAAUGGAUCAUAGGAGCCCAGCUGCUCUACGAAACGGCCAUCCCUGGGACACUUGUUGUGAGCAGCCACAAUGCGGUAGAACGGCCGAUUGGUGCAGCCACCCAGGGCAAGGCGGAUGGUUAAGUGGCCCCCACGGUAGGCCUUGCAGAGGAGAGUAGCUGUAGAAAAGCAGCUGGUUAGGACACAAAAAACAGCACAAAAAGGACAAAAUGACACAGACGGCACAAUUCCCUUUUCCCACUGAAAUGUCUCACUUCCAAUCCAUUCCUGUCAAUCCAGUUUAGAUGCUACUCUUCUUUGUGAAACCCCUCUUGGCCAGUCCAGCCAGCAAUGACCUCCUCCUCAUACCCAAACCCACCCCGCAUGGGCUUGCCAUUCACUAGGCUCUGUGACCUUGUCGGAGCCUUAGCUGCUUCAAUGGGGUGGAAAUUUUUCAGCGGUGAUUAAGUGGGGAAAAAACUGAGAGAAGGAUCAAAUGUAAGGCAGUGUGGCUGCUUCAGGUUCGGGUUGCCUCCAUCGCGCCUGGGAGAGCUCUCCCCACCCGGCCCCGAACUCCCGAGCCCCGUGACCGCCCGGAACGUCUCGCGGUGGCCCGAUGACUCACUGAGGUGGACCAUGGUGCCGCCGGCGUGCGGCUCCUCGGAGAGCCCCGCUACCCGCACGCACCAGCUCUACGGCCUUGGCAGGGCAGAGAACAAACACAGAAAGAACCUGCAAGCCGACACCAGGCCGCACCGCCAAGCGGUACAAGCCCGAAAACCUCGACUCCGGAAGCGGAUGAUCCGCUCGCCACGCCUCCUCCGCUUGCCGCCCUAUACUUCCCACAAUGCAACACGGUGACCCCUAACGUACCUUAAACUGCUGCAAAAGAGGCGUUUCUCGUGGUGUCUUGUGGGAGUGGCGGUGCGAUCCCUCUCAGACUUGUGAGUCCCUGCUGGAGUCAGAAGUUUUAGGCGAAUCCCAGGCGCGCCAAGGAAAGUGCUACAAAAGCCAUCCAUCUUGCAAGCGUUGGUGCCGAGGCGCAACGCUGAGAACGCAAAUACUAAAGGGCGCUGUUCUUUCCUCGUGGAGCUCACAGUCCGCUGGGGAGACCGUGAGAUGACAGCAGAGAAACUAGCGCGAUCAGUAGUACUCAGCGCAAGGACAGCGAGCAGAGAAGGCAAACCUAGUGCUUGCUAAGGAAGACUUCACAGAGGAGUCACACCUUAAAAAAAAAAGGAGGGGUUAUUCCUGCUUUUGCCGUGCUGUGAUCCAGGGCAGAGCUCCAGGCUUCAUACGGUAAAACUCUCUGGGAAGGAAAGGAACUCAGAGUCCCAUGCAGAAAAUUGUUCAGCUGGAGGGGUAUCAGAAAGAUGGAUUUCCAAAGCCAACUGUUUCCUGUAGUGUGUGGAUCUCUGCAAGCAGAGCCUCAUCUUUCAAUUUCAGCUACAUGAAAGAGGAAGAAAGGGAAAGAUAUAUGUCAUACGUGAUAUACUUUAUGUGGCUUUGAAGACCCCUCUUUUGUGGGGCUACGGCUAAAGAACAUAGUUCCCUGGGAUGGAAUUGGCUCUUCCUAUUUCCCUACUUCAUGAAAACUCCAGUAGAAGACCUUAGAACCUUGUCCUGGUUACAUGGAUAUGUUUACUUUGUGAAAAUUCAUCAAGCACUAUGCACGGUCAUGAUUUGUACAUUUUUUUGUAAGAUAACUUCAUUAAAAUUUAC